UACGUAGGGUGCGAGCGUUAAUCGGAAUUACUGGGCGUAAAGCGUGCGCAGGCGGUUUUGUAAGCCAGAUGUGAAAUCCCCGGGCUUAACCUGGGAAUGGCAUUGGUGACUGCACGGCUAGAGUGUGUCAGAGGGGGGGUAGAAUUCCACGUGUAGCAGUGAAAUGCGUAGAGAUGUGGAGGAAUACCGAUGGCGAAGGCAGCCCCCCUGGGGAUAACACUGACG
rnacentral:rRNA from 1 species